AGAGUUUGAUCCUGGCUCAGAACGAACGCUGGCGGCGCGUUUUAAGCAUGCAAGUCGAACGGUAUGAUGGUGCUUGCACCAUUAGAGAGUGGCGAACGGGUGAGUAACACGUAGGUGAUCUACCCUUUAGUUGGGGAUAGCUCAUGGAAACAUGGGGUAAUACCGAAUGAGCUCAUAGUCUUGUGGGACAAUGAGGAAAGGAGCGAUAGCUUCGCUGAAGGAUGAGCCUGCGGCUGAUUAGCUGGUUGGUGGGGUAAAGGCCUACCAAGGCGACGAUCAGUAGCCGGCCUGAGAGGGUGACCGGCCACAUUGGGACUGAGACACGGCCCAGACUCCUACGGGAGGCAGCAGCUAAGAAUCUUCCGCAAUGGGCGAAAGCCUGACGGAGCGACGCCGCGUGGACGAAGAAGGCCGAGAGGUUGUCAAGUCCUUUUCCAAGAGAAGAAUAACGGUGGUAGGAAAUGAUCACUGGAUGACGGUAUCUUGGGAAUAAGCUCCGGCCAAUUACGUGCCAGCAGCCGCGGUAACACGUAAGGAGCGAGCGUUGUUCGGAAUUAUUGGGCGUAAAGGGCUUGUAGGCGGCUUUGUAAGUCUGGUGUGAAAAACCGCAGCUUAACUGCGGGAACGCAUUGGAAACUGUAAAGCUGGAAUCCGUGAGAGGAAACUGGAAUUCCUGGUGUAGGGGUGAAAUCUGCUGAUAUCAGGAAGAACACCUGAGGCGAAGGCGAGUUUCUGGCACAGGAUUGACGCUGAUGAGCGAAAGCGUAGGGAGCAAACAGGAUUAGAUACCCUAGUAGUCC
rnacentral:rRNA from 1 species